AGUGAACGCUGGCGGUAGGCCUAACGCAUGCAAGUCGAACGGCAGCACAGUAAGAGCUUGCUCUUACGGGUGGCGAGUGGCGGACGGGUGAGGAAUACAUCGGAAUCUACUUUUUCGUGGGGGAUAACGUAGGGAAACUUACGCUAAUACCGCAUACGACCUACGGGUGAAAGCAGGGGAUCUUCGGACCUUGCGCGAUUGAAUGAGCCGAUGUCGGAUUAGCCAGUUGGCGGGGUAAAGGCCCACCAAGGCGACGAUCCGUAGCUGGUCUGAGAGGAUGAUCAGCCACACUGGAACUGAGACACGGUCCAGACUCCUACGGGAGGCAGCAGUGGGGAAUAUUGGACAAUGGGCGCAAGCCUGAUCCAGCCAUACCGCGUGGGUGAAGAAGGCCUUCGGGUUGUAAAGCCCUUUUGUUGGGAAAGAAAAGCAGCAGGUUAAUACCCCGCUGUUCUGACGGUACCCAAAGAAUAAGCACCGGCUAACUUCGUG
rnacentral:rRNA from 1 species